GGUGAAAAGCACCCCGGAAGGGGAGUGUAAUAGAACCUGACACCGUGUGCUGACAAGUAGACAGAGCCCGUUAAUGGGUGACGGCGUGCCUUUUGUAGAAUGAACCGGCGAGUUACGAUUUGAUUCAAGUUUAAGCAGAAAAUGUUGAGCCGGAGCGAAAGCGAGUCUGAAUAUGGCGUUAAGUAUUUGGUCGAAGAACAGAAACCAGGUGAUCUACCCUUGGUCAGGUUG
rnacentral:rRNA from 1 species